AAAACUGGUUUAUAUUUUCUUCUAUUGGAGUAAUCUGUUAGUUGUGCUAAAGGAAAGUAAAGUUGACCAAUUGAUGUGUUUGCUCUGGUUUCUAACUUCUUAAGCCCAUUUCUGGUUCCAUUAGUACUUGGUAGUAUGUUUCACUUAAAGUUAAAUCUAUAGCUACUAGUUCAGGUUAAGUGCUUGAUUUACACCAAAUAUAUAUACUUCCUCCGCUUUUGUUUCUCUCACAAGUCAGAGCUUGCUUCCUUCUCGCUGCUUGUUGCCCCCAACACCUCCCACCCGCGUUUCUCCCCCACUGCCCCAACACCGCCCACCGCGUUUCUCCCCUCAACACGGCCCACCUGCAAAGCACCACCGUGUCGUGGCUUCCAUAUCGCCCCCGCCCGCUUUUCUCCCCCGCUGCGCGACUGAAGCCGUGUCUCUUACUGCUGGAAAUCGCCCCGUGUUUCUCCGACUCGCCUACUGCUGGAAGCCGCCCCGCAACCGCCUCAUCUCCUCUUCUCUCCUCUCCUCUCCUCUCCUGCGCGCACUGCCUCCGUCGAUUGGUUUCCUCCCGCUGGCCACCACUAGGGAGUAUUAAAGCUUGCAGAAAGGCUACCUUAGUGAGUAUAAGCUUGUUAAGGGAGUUCAAGUUACAGAUGAGUUGAAUCGACAAAUGCGGAACUGUCUCGAGAGGAUGUACUUGAACAUUACGGCGCAUGAAAGGAUAUGGAACUCAAAGAAUACAACUUCAAUGCUGAAGGUGGUCAUUUGCAUCCCUUACUCAAGGAUGGUGCAUAUAUACAAGAAUUACAAAGCUACUUUAAAGAAUAGAUAGGUUAUCAGACCUUGAUUGCAAGAUUUUUGGCACAUAAAUAUUAGAUAGGUUUUAAAAAAUAGAUAUAUCAGACCGUGAUUGCAAGAUUUUUUUUAUUUUAAUUGAUGUAGUGUUAUAACCUAUAUUUUUUUGACUAUUCAAGCAAUUGUAAUAGAUAUUAUGCUUUUAAAAAAUUUAAUGUACACAUUUUUUAACUUAUUUGUUAUGAAAAUCUUAUUAUACGUA